GCCUUCCUGGCUCAGUUGGUUAGAGCGUCAGUCUCAUAAUCUGAAGGUCGUGAGUUCGAGCCUCACGGAGGGCA